ensembl:lncRNA
UGUAGUUACAGAAAUCCUGUAUUCUAGGGAAAAAAAAAAAAAAAAAGAUACAUGGAAAACCAGUUAAAAGAAGCCAUCCUGGUAGCUAUUGACUCUUUCUGCGCUGUCUUUAAUAAAUAAUGUGAUGCAGUGGGGAAACAUAGUGAAAGCUGCCUCCACUGUUAGGUUGUCAUGUAACAGUCAGGCCCGCAUGCAGUGCCACAUGAGUUUGAUAUGACCAUUCAUUAGAAACUGCAGUAUUGAGAUUAAGCAACCAACAGAUACUUGGAUUUCAACUGGCUACACUGGUCCAGGAUCUUACCUAUGUACACGAAUGUAACUUACAGUGAAUUGUUGGAUUAAUUUCUUUGUGAGAAUCUUUUCUGUUUGCAUUGGGGUAGUAAUGAGGAAUGUUUGUUUUACAUUGAGUAGAAAUAGGGAUUUUUGCAUAUUAACAGGAAUAUAUUUGGGAUUUUGUGAUUAGCUUAAUUAAGUGAUGUACCAUAUCGGGAUAUUAUAUAAAGUGAAAGACUUACUUGAAAAUCAAGUAUACCUCUUGAUCGUGGCUAUCUGGGGUUUUGAAUGUUACUGGCUCCUGUGCAUUGCCCCUUGAUCUUCAGAAGAGUGAUCCCAUGGCUGAGAUAUGCAGUGCUUGCAGCUCCAAAUGGAUCCAUCCCACUGUAGCUGGCACUGCUCUGGAAAGUCAGCUAUUUCCAGAAAAACGGACAGCACCACACAUCCUCUCCUACACCAUUCCUAGUGCUAGACUUUGGCAGCUCUUUUCACGUUCAUUAGAGUUCAUUUGAGUGAAUAAACCUCAAAAGCAUGAAAAAUCCAGAAAAAUUUCAGUUACCUUUGACAGUCUGCCAAGGUCCACAGCCUUUAAAAUUCUUAAAGGUAAUACUGCUCAGAAGUGCAAGUUCUAAGAUACUGAGGAAAGGAAAAACAAGUGGGUCAGAGAGCAAGCUUGCCUGAAUUAUCUGUUGCUUCACAGCUGCUAGCAGCCUCCUGCUAUGGCCAGCAAAUCCUCUGUGUCUGGCUGAGGUAUCUAGCUGCAGGUACACAGAUGUUCUCCUAGCAAACAAUCAGCAUUGUCUUUGAAUUUCCACUGAAAUUCACUUUCUUCCUCUUUAAGCGCUCCCUUUUGCCACUGAGAAGAUUUAGUACUUUUUGAGAGAGGGGGAAAUUAAAUUACCUUAAGAAACAAGACUGAUGGACUGGAGAGGUGGAAGAAAAAAAAAAAAAGACUGAAAUUCUCAGCUGUUCUCUAGGGUGAUUAAAUUCUACUUGCAGGAAGUGCCUCAUGUUAAACCUGCAAGCUGUACUAGGAUGGGUCUGUAAGCUACAAAAGGACCACUUGUAGUUGUAGCACGUGUAUUUAUUGCUUGAGGCAAUCCUGUAUUGAAUGGGUACAAUUGAAUAACAGGAAGGGCUGACAGUGUAAGGAUUCCUGCUUUCUCUCCUUAUUCCAAAGCAGUAUGAGACACCCCUGAGGUAUAUGAUGAAUUGUUUCAUUACAGCACUGAAAAAAGAGUUAGCUGCUUUUCAUCUAGUCCUACUCAUUUCAGUUAUGGAAGUUAUGUCCUUAAUUAUCUGUACUUUGUAGGACAUCUGCCCAUGGAGCUGGUUUGGGGAUGUCUUUUCUGGGCUGUACUAUGUGUGGGUUUGUUGGGUUUGAUGCUCUCUGCUGAGGAUCCUUAGACCCUAACAUAACGAGCUGGACAAGAGCAAAAAUGGACUUAGUAGGUCAGGAAAGCAGUUUAGCAGAACAAGAAGCAUGCUACAGAUCUCCUGCUUCACAACUCAAUUCCUUGCCACGUGUACCAUUCCACCAUCCCCUUUGCUGAACCAUGAAGUCAGGAGAAAGCAAAGACCUGAACCUUGUGAAAGUUUCCCAUUUUAAAUUGGGUUUGUCCCUUGAGAACAACUGAGGAAAAAAUGACUGUGCAGAACUGGUUCCUAGAAAACAGAUACUCCUACAAACACUGCUGAAGGAUGGAAUGGUCAGGACGGUGCGUGAAAUCAACUUCCUUUGCCCCUUUGGUUGUGCUAUACCUAAAACAUGCCAGCUGAGCAGAGUUAAAUCAGCCGACUCACUUGCAGUUCACAUUGAAUAAGAGGAGUAACUGAACCAGCUAGGCUCCAGUGCCCCUGACGUUCUGAAAGACCAAAGUCUGCUGACCCCCUUUUCCUGCUGGAGAAGCAUUUAGAUAACUGUUCAGUCUACAGCAUGUUUGGGCAGAUGCAGCUUUGAAAGAGAGAAAUGCUUCAGGAUAGACCCGUUGUCAUUGGAGGUAGAGAUAUACUAAAGAAGUUGCAAGAACAAAUUACACCUGUAGCCAGAAAAAUUCAAGUACAUAUCCCUGAGGAUGAAGCCAUAGAGGCCCAGGUCUUCGUGUUACAGGAAUCACCUCCUGAAUCUGAAAUACCCGAGGAAGUAGACAACAUGGUAAAGCUAUUGUUAUGAGCUGGAGGAACCUCAGGAUGAUCACGGUGGACCAAAUGUGUGAUUGUACAAUUGUAGCUGAACUCCAGACUGGUCAGAAAAAAAAAAAACAUUUGAACUGUUCGUGCAUGAAAGGCUGCAUAAUGCCCUGGGAGUCCUGGCACAGAGACUGAGAUUAUUGAGAGCAUUGGAACUAUUAAAAGAAAUUUUUUAAAAAAGAGUCAAUAUAUGGAAUGAUUCAAAAUUUGCAUUUGGAGUUGUACAUUGCCAUGGAGUAAUAUGGAAGAGAAGAGGACUGCUAUCCUACCAGGGAUCACAAAUAAAAUAUGGACCCAUUAUUAUAGAGCUACUAGAAAGUGUACAGCCUCCUCAGAAAGUAGCCAUAAUGCAUCGCAAAGCACAUCAGUUCAGUAACACUCCAGUGAAUUACAGCAGCUGACUUGCCAAUAGAGCUGCUGAAGCAGCCACAGAAGGAACUCUUUUAUUAGUAAUCCUGGACAAAUAUAAAUAACUAGGGAAAGAAGUCCCACGUUAUCAAGCUAAAGAUGAGAGACUGGCAACAUUACGGACAGUGGUUAAAGAUGACAAAGGAUAGUAGAUAACUCCAGAUAAACAGACAAUUAUCCCUCAAUCUCUUAUGAAUAAAUGGCCAGAAGAUUAUCAUUGAUUGACACAAUGGGGAAUAGAGACAAUGAUAGAAAGCAUGAGACACCAAGUUUUAAGUGUGCGAAUGGCAGGAAUCAUAAAGAAUAUUGUGAAAAGAUAUGAACUCUGUUUGAAAAACAAUCUCCAUCAACCUAAAUGACCUCCACUCAAAACAGCUAAGAAAGGAAACCAUCCAGGAGUUUAUUGGCAGAUGGAUUUUUGUGAAUCACUGCGGUGAUGUGAGCACAGGUAUGUCGUUGUAUGUGCACCUUUACUCCUGGAUGGACUUGUACACCGGUACCAACCUGCAGAUUGAGUGUACCUGAAGACAGGGUCAGAUAAGGAGAAGUGGAGAGGACCCUUCCAGACUUUACUCACCACCCAUGCAGCAGUCAGACUCAAGGGAAUCAGCCUAUGGAUUCACUGCAGUAGAGUCAAGCAGGUUUCUCAUAACAAUAAGUAAUGCAUUUAUUAACGGUGAGGGAAUGAAUGUGAAAGUGAAAAUUUGGUUUUAACAUUAAUACAAGGGUUUGGUAGGAUGUGCAAUGUCACUAGCAUCUGCGUAAUCAUAAUUAUAAGAGGUAUAGGACUGUAUAAGAUGUAUUAAAAGAUAUUUUGAAAGAAAUAUGUGGAAGUAAUUAGAAGAACUAACUAUUUACUUCCCAAGGAGGAAAUUGAUACCUGGCAAUUAAUUAACCACAGGCCCCUUGCAAGGACCCCAUACUAACACAGAGCGUGUGCAGUAUUAGAUUUUAACAUAUAUAGUAAUUCUUGUAAUAGGCAGGCACUCUGUGGAAAAUGUAUGAAUAUUCACACAUGUUCAGUGUAUCUGUGUAUAUCUAUCAAUGUAUCUAUUCAAUCAAUCUGUGUGCUUUUAGCUCCUGGCUUUGCACGUUAGGCGGAGCAAUCCCCUGUGCAUCCAGUAACACAAUAACAAUAUUGUCACAAUAACAAAUGCCUGCUUCUUAAUGCUACAUUAGCAUUAAUGAGUUUUGUUCCUGAUUUCAGUGGCAGAAUUGGUGUUAUUUCUUUUUUUUUUCUUUUUUUUUUUUUCCCCCACCAAGUAUGAGGGCAAGACAUUAUGUGGGUGUAUGAGGUAUCUUUAGAUAUGCAGUGAGACAACUCAGGCACUGGGGAAAACUCAUCUCUGGAUACUGUCUCUGUCUCCCAUUUUAUUUAAGUUUCUUUCAGCUGCUGCCAUGAGCCCAGGAUAUCUCUUUUCAGCUGGCAGGAGCUGACAUAGCAGAAAUAGCUAUCAAAUAUGAUAUAGGUUCUCCCUUUGAAUGCUCCUUCUUGCACCAUUCUUGGUACAGUUUAGGGUACCAGUAGAAGAAAUGAAGAAAGCAGACAUCAAAGAUACUGCACAAGGUCAGUCAGCACCGAGAAGAGCCAACCGUCCUUCUAUAUCUGAUGCAAAGUGCCACAUCUUAGCUUUGUUUUCUUUUUCAAAAACUCUACUGGAAUUUGAAGAGGUUUUAAAACACCAGUACAUGAUUUGAAUAAUUGUAUGCUCCAAGGAAUGUAUGCCACCCAGAACAACUGGUCUGUCCCAGAGAAAUAGUACAACACUUCCGAAACGGAAGAAAAGCCUGACUUCUACUGACUUCAGUCUUCUUUUGCAAGUGGGACUUCCCACUGAGAAUCUAAAUAUGCAUCAGAUGUCUAAAAACAGUAAAUCAUUUAAGGGUUUUAACUAGGAAAAUAGUUCAGCAGCCCUUAUGAAUUAUUACUUUUUCACAUUAUUGCAAUUAAAAAUCCUCAUUUUCUCAGUGUUUGCAUAAGCAAAGUGGUUUGCCUACGGUGAAUGCAGCUCCACUGAAGGAUGUGAUACCUACUCUGCAUUGGUGCUCUCUGUUCCAAUGGGUGCAACUCUGCCAAUACUGCAGAAAUUUGAGGAUGCUUUUCUCUGAAGCAGUAGUGUUUAAAAUUUCAUCCUGUCCAUUAGAUUGCUCCAGAAUUAGCCUUGUAAGUACAUCUGAGUUCUGUGGCAUCAUGUUGCACUAAAAGCCAGUCUCUGAGAUGAGGGACUCAGGCAGUUUAUUUAUAGUUCAGAAGGUCAAAUAGUUGCCUUAAUUGGAAAACACCACUCACCAGUCUCUGAGCGUAUUGAUGUACUUUGCAUUCGAUGCCAUUAGUUACUUGUGUGAGUUUCUAAUAUCACCUUUGUUAAUAAGAUACAUUCUCCAUAAUGGGCUGCUUGCAGGUUCCAAGAGCCAUUUAUAUGCUAAGUUUGACAAGUUAGAUGAUGCUAAACCCAUACUGAAAGCAAUAGCUGUCAGAACUGUACCUGGGUGCCAGGCAGAUGUCUGUGACCUUCAAACUGUUUUGGGAUGGGAUGUGCUAAAUCCCGUCUGUAUGGUAUGUGACCAGGCAGCAAAGGUAUUUCUUCAAAUAUAUCUUGAAUUCCUGCCAGAAAAGUUGUAUAUAAACCUCACAGCAAAAGUUUGAUGGACUUGGCUUGUAGUAGAAGGAAGGUGAAAUAAAGUCACAGAAUCACAGAAGUUGGAAGGGACCUCAAGAGAUCAUUGAGUCCAACCCGCUGCCAAAGCAGGUGCCCUACAACAGGUCACACAGGUUGGUGUCCAGACAGGACUUGAAUAUCUCCAGAGAAGGAGAAGGCAAGGUGCUCCCAACAUGUCUGAAUUAAAGCAUACGAUAGCAAACACACUGAGUGAUUUGAGAGACCUGAAGAUCUCUCAUCCAUAGAGAUGCAGAUUAGGGAAAAAAAACCACAAAAACAAACCUCUUCUCAACGCAAAGGAAACUAUCUUAAAGAAGUCUAAAAAAUUCCUCUUGAUUUCACUUCUGCUGUUCCCACACUUUCCCUUGCCUACUAUUGUUGCUGAAGGUCAUGUCAAGUUUUACAUGUAGUAUGGCCCAGUAGACACAUGAUCUUAACCAUAGGAGGAAGGCAAAAUGUUAAUGUUCAUUGUGUGGAUUUAUGUAGGAAGGGAGCAAGGAAGAGGAUUAAUAUGGAGGUGGCUAAUGCUGGGACUACUCCAAGUUUCUCUGGAAUCGAGCUCAGGAUGGCAUAUACAAAUAGGAAUCACACCUCUGGUUUGAUGUGAGGGGGUGUGACUAGUGAAGUUGCUGAUGUGAAGUUUUCUGGGUCCCUUAAGAGGUUAGGGGAGAAUAAGGCUAAUAUUAGGAAGGGGAUAAAGGCAUGGGCUGAGAUGUGAAGGAAAGCUAGUUGUGAGAGAUCAAGUCCAGUGGUGACUAUUAUUAAGCUUAGCUGGCUGGAGGUGAACCUGAGGAUGUCUUUUAAUGAGAAGUAGUGAUAGAAGGGAUGGGUUGGGAGGUGAAUUAGGGAAUUGCUGACUAUUUUUAGUAGGGGAUGGGAUUUUCAGAUGUUGAGGGCCAUUAUUUUAUUAUCUAUGGGCUGAUAGAUUAAUUAUUAACAUUGAUAGAGUGAAGAAUCCUCAGUAGGUUUUGAUUAAGCCUGUGGAAUGUAGUUGUGAUUUUGCUUGCUGUCAGGUGGAGGUUAGCAAAGCCUUUGGGGCCUAUUUUCUUGUGUCAGGAUAUAUCGAUUAGGUGAAAGGCAAUUUUUUGUCCUUUAUUUAGUAGGUCUGUACAGCUGGAUCAGAGCAUUAGGGAGCUUAAAGUAGCCUAAGGAGGAGAAGUUUCUAAGGGUACUUUGUUUUAAGGGGAAGGUAAAGGUGUGGGUUAUAUUUGAAGUUCUAGAACUAGAAUAAUUCUGAGAAUUGUGAGCACAUAUAUAUGUAUUUUUAUAUAUAUAUAUAUAUGUAUAUAUAAACACUAAUAACCCAAUGAAACAUCCUACCAGUCCAAAUCACAUCCAUCCAAAACUCUAUCAUUUAUCAUAAACUUCAUAAUCCCCCUAACCUUAAAAAUAGACCCAUGCUCAAUACUAUUUUUCCAAUUGCAUAAUUUGUAACUUGAUCAAUCCUGGAAUUUGUAACAUGAUGCAUAGCCUCAGAACCAUGUAUCAAGAAAUUCUUCACCUAUCUUCUUUACGUCCGAAUUGCCAUACUAACCAUUGCAAACAGCAUAUUCCUUCUUUUGUAGGCUGAGAGGAAUUAUGUCAUUCCUAUUCAUUGGCUGAUGACAAUGUCAAGCCAAAACUAACACAGCAGCAUUAAAAGCUGUAGUCUACCACCAGAUUGAAGAUAUAUAAGGCAAUGUAAUAUAACACAAAAUAGAGAUAAGCAUGUGAGUUUUUAACACUUGAAUUCAGUACUGUGCAGUACAAAGUACAAAGGAUCUAAGUAGAGUAAAUUUAAAUUUAAGAAGGUAAGCAGUUUUAGUUAGUUUAAAAUGGCAGGCUGGAGUAUUUAUUUGAUAAAAAGUCAUUCAAGUAUUUGACAGAAAGUCAUAGAAAUGAAAAAGCUAGACAUAACUGUUUUUAAAACAGCAUAACAACAUAAAAUGGGAAGAAGAGAGACUGAGAUUGUACUAUUAAUGUUUUCAUGAAGAAACAAAACACCAGACUUAAACAAGCAAACUCUAGUGGAGGAAAUAGAAACCCUAUUUUCUGCGGAGUGUGCAGUGAGACAUAAUGGCUGUAUAACUUCUAAAAGUUUAUAGUUUAGUGGUGCAGGCUCAGAAUAAAAGAAUUCAAUAGCAAAAUGAGUCAACACUUAAACCUAAAUUGUAAUUUAUAAGGGACUCUCUUCUCACGCAAAUCAAAUUUGGAAGCAGAAUAAUGUCUUCUGAUAGCGAGGCAGUAUUUGCUGAAUGUUCUGGGUGGCAGUUUGCAAUACACAGACAUUUGAAAUUACAUUUAUAAAAUAAAUGUUCAAUUCAAAACAAUUUUUAGCCUAUUUGCUGACACAUAAUACAAAAUUGUUGCUACACUAUAUAUUUCUUCAUAUAAGGCAUUGCAACACGCAGACAGUAAUGAAAAAUGGAGGCAACAGAGUUCUUGCAAAUGAAAGCAAGAAUGUAACUCUGUUCUUCCUGCUUCCCACCAGGGAAUGGUGGCUUCCAAAACACUGGAAAACAAGGCAGUUGGUGAGAAAGUCUCAGAAUUGACUCCAUGUGUUAAAAAAAGAAGGCCAAACAAAGCCAAGAGUGGUCACUCCCUGGCAUGUGCACCCUGCCUGAUACUUCAGGGAGAACAGAGUCACAUGGGCCUACACAUCACUGUCUCUCUCCUUCACUCUGCAUCUGCCAGGACAGAUGCAAUAAGGAUGCUGGUGCAUAUUGAAGCUCUGCUCUUCCAGUGGAUCUCAGCAGAAUGCACACUGAAAUUUCUCAUAGCUGAUGUACUCUCCUCACAGCUUAGAAGCCCCACUCACAGCAUCACAUAACAGUCCAGACUGAAAGGGACCAUAAAGCCCACUCAGGCCCAACCCACUGCCAUGGCCUGGCUGCCCCCUCCAGCUCAGGCUGCCCAGGGGCCAAUCCAACCUGUCCUUGAGUGCCUCCAGGGAUGGGGCACCACAACUUCUCCGGGCAGCUGUGCCAGGGCCUCACUGCCCUCUGAGUAAGGAAUUUCAUCCUAACAUCUAACCUAAAUCAUGAGUUUUUCGGUUCAAAACUAUCACUCCUUUUCCUAUCACUAUCACUGCAAACUGUCUAAGAGUGCACUCAGCCCCACUGUCCAUGUCAAUGAGAGAUGUUCAGUAGUGCCAGUCCCAACACACACCCCUGAGGAACACCUCUUGUUACUUUUCUCCACCUGGACAUCAAGCCAUUGACCUCAGUUCUUUGAGUGAGACCAUCCGGCUGAUUUGGUCUGCAGCUGCUAGUAUUGUUUGUGUAUCCCCAGUAAGUUCACAAUCCAUACAAAAACAUUCAGACUUUGAUUAAGUCUUGCAAUGCAAAUCUAGGACAACGUUAGAUAAACUGAAUUUGCAUGUGAAAUUAAAUAGCACUAGGGACACUGUUCUGAGUUACGAAUUUUCACUUUUCAUUUAAUUAAGAACUUGUACUUUCAAAGUAACCUGAAUCUAUCACAUAAUCUCCAGUAGUACGCACCACAGUGCUGCAAGAACUGUGAACCUUUUAGCUAAACUUUAGAAUAGCAUGGCAUAAGCAUAGCAUAGUUCAGUUGGAAGAGACCUUCAGACAUCAUCUAGUCCAAGUGUCUGACCUCAUCAGGGCUAAACAAGAGUUAAGUUAAUGAAAGCAUCAUCCAAAUGCCUCUUGAACAUGGGACAUCAACCACCUCUCUAAGUAGCCUGUUCCAGUGUCUGAUUGCACUCACAGCAAAGACAUUUUUCCUGAUGUCCGGUCUAAUCCUCCCAUGGCACAGCUUGUGCUGUUCCCAUCCAGUUCCUAGGAGCAGAGCCAGGUAACUCCCUCUCCAUUCCCCUCCUCAGGGAGCUGCAGAGAGCAGUGAGGUCACCUCUUGGCCUCCCAUUCUCCAGACUAGACAACCCCAGUGUCCUCAGCCUCUGCUCACAGCACAUGCCUUACAACCCUGUUACCAGCUUUGUUGUUCUCUGGAUGCUUUCAAGGACCUCAUCAUCCGUUCCGUAUUGUGGAGCCCAGAACUGCACACAGCACUCCAGGUGAGGCCACACCAUUGCUAGAGAUACAGUGGGAUAAGCAGCUCUUUUGACCAGCUGGUCAUGCUGUGUUUAUUGCACCUCCAAGGGCAGUUUGCCCAUUUGACUGCCAGGGCACACUGCUGGCUCAUGCUGAGCCUGCUGUCACCAGCACCCCAAGGAACCUUCAUGCUGAGCUGCUCUCCAGCCACUCCUUUCCCAUCUGUGCUUGGGUCUGGCAUUGCUCUGUCCCAGGAGUAAAACUCAGCCAUUUCCUUCAUUGAACUUGAUGCCAUUGAUAAAUGCCCAGUGCUCCAAUCAACCCAGAUCCCUCUGCAAGACCUCUUGCCCCUUGAGGAAUUCAACAGCACCUUCCGGUUUAGUGUCAUCAGUAAACUUGUUAAGGAUGCACUCAACCCCUGCACCCAGAUCACUGACAAAAACAUGGAGCAUAACUGGCCCUAGACUUGCACCCUGGGAAAUAUCACUAGUGAUCAUCUGUCAGAUACAUGUAGACCCAUUCACUGUAAAUCUCUGAACUCCACUGUUGAUCCAGUUUACUCUGUAGCACAGCAUAAAUCUGUUAGUCUCACCAUUGGACAGUGUAAUGCUAUUAUGUGUUCGAAAGUAAAGCAAUAAUAGUAGAGUGGCUAUCCUAUCCUAGGCUGCAGCAAAUGAGAACAAGCCCAAAUGCAGCAGCUGUAGACAUGGAAACAAAGGAAGAAAAACUUCUUACCUUUGGAAGGUCUCAGGUAGGCAGAUACCUCCAGAGAAAUACCCUCACCUCCCCCUGCCAGCCCUUAAAUGAGGUCUGGGAAGGGGUGGAUCCUGGCUUCCUUCUGGUCACUCAGCUGCACUGCAUGCAUCAGGGCUCCCCUGGGUUGGCCCUGCCUUCCCACCAGGUGCUCAAUCACUGCUUCAAGCUGUGACUUAGCAUUUCCGCUACAGACAGUUUGUCCAGAAGGAUGCUAUGAAGGACAAAAUCAAAGGCCUUACUAAAAUCCAGAAAGAUUAUGUCCGCUGCCUUCCCUUCAUCCACAAAGCAGGUGACCUUAUCAUAGAAGGAGAUAAAAUUACUAAGGCAGGACUUUCUCUUAAUGAAUCCAUGUUGAUUAUGCCUCAUAAUAGCUUUGUUCUUCAAAUGCCUUUCAAUACCCCCAGCACAGUCUUUGUAUUCUUUCUAAAGACUGAGGUUAGACUAACAGGUCUGUGGUUUCCUGGGUCUUCUCUUGUGCCCCUUUUGUAGUUGUUUAUAACACUGGCUAGUUUCUAGUCAGCAGGGAUGUUCCCAGGCUACCAAGACCUUUGGUAAUUCAUUGAGAGGGGUCCAGCUACAACAUCCAUUAAUUCCUUUAGUCUGGAAUGAACACUAUCAAGCCUCAUGGACUUAAGAACAUUAAGCUGGUACAGAUGGUCCCUUAUGAUUUGGUGGCCACAAAUAUAUAAAUCUCUGCUCCUGUUGCAUGGAUUCUAGCAAAAUGAUUCACCAGACUUCUCUCAAAAUAAAAACUUCCACGUUACCUUGUCCUCCAGUGGACACUGCCUUCACUGUGCUCUUUCAGUGAACCUCUGGUGCCUUCCUCACUAAAUUCUUCUUACUUUUGGGAUGAGCUAAGCUGGGCCUUGAGUUCCAUACUUUUCAGAUGCCACUAUGGAAGAAAAGACAAGACAGGCGCCUGAGCGUUGUUCUGGAUUUUCCUAGACUCUAAAGUUUGUUUCUGCCUGUUUCAAACAAGAGUGAAGUAUGUGGAAGUCUCAGGUAAUAGCUCCUGAAGUCAUGAGCUACUUCCUCAGGCCCUACAUGAAGAUUAAAUGAGUUAGUCAGUGGCAAACUGCUGAGACUACAGCUCAGCUUUCUUAACUCUUUCAAGUGCUUCAUCCAUCUGUCUUCACCACCUGCCAUGGUUAAUUUUUAACAUCUGCAAAGCUGUAAUGGAAUCAUUUACAUGCUUACAACAAAACACGCACUGUUUGCUGGAUUCUGUCAAUGUUGCUUAAAUUUUACUUCUACAGCUAAACUGCAGAAAAAAGUGUCUCAGGCAAUAUAGAGAACAGGUGACACUUGAUAGCCACAGUUAUCAUAUUUGGAUUCUUUUUUUAUUGAGAACAACACUUCAAGGACAGAUGGAUUAUUACCUUUCCACAAAAGUACUCACAUUUCUGCUGAGUAACCUUCUUAUCAUCUCCUUUUAUUACUAAAUCUUAAUGAGAUAGUAAUAUAAAACAUAAUUAAUUUUAUCAUCAUUUUAAAAUUAAUGUGAUAAUCAAAGUAGAAUUCCAUCUGCAGAACCCAUUUUGGAUCUUCGGUCUUCUAAAAAUUCCCUAUAGUGCCCACCCCGCUACUGAUGAUGAUAAAUUUGGGGAUUACGUUUCUGGAUAACAGAGUGAGAAUGAUACUCUUGUCAAUAGGAUGCCAAGUAGUUAUCAGGUGGUAAAAACUAACCAAGCCCUUAUAAUCAACAGUAGAGAAUGAUGGCUUUGCAUUUAAUGGACUGGAUAGGAACUCAGUUUGUCUCUUAAGUGUACUUAGCAUCUACACAACACAUACAUCCCGUACAGUACAGGCCCGUGAGCACACACAGUCAAGAAGCAAUGGCUUAUGAGAGUGAUUGUAGCUAAUGAAUUUCACUUCACAGCUCAGGGGUACACACGUGGGCUGCUACUCACUCCUAGUGCUGAGCAGUGCUUUAUUAAAAUCCCAUGACUUGAUCACACGCAGCCCACAUGCUCAUGCCCUGUUCCUGAGUUCAGUAACCUUGGGGAACUGGGUUUGCAGCCCCAAAAUCAGAAAUUAGUUGGUAACUGCUCAGGACUUAGCAAACAGGCUGCACUGGCACACAUGAAGGAAGUGACUUUGUAAACCCUGUCACUGAUGGCCUGAAGUGAUCUUUGUUUCCCAGCUAUAGAAUACAAUCAUGAACACAGAUGACUGUGAUGACUGUAGGCUGUGAAGCCCUUUACCUGUUUCAUCUUUUGAGGCUCCAGUCCUGCAGCACACACACACACAAUUUUAUCACUGUGAGAGGAGCUGCACUAGGAAUGAGGUUGGCAAGUUCAUGCUUACAAGGUCAUGGACUAAUAAAUAUUUGGGAUGAGAUUUAUUCCCUAGUUAAUGGCCCAAACAGCGCACAGGCAGCAGAUCCUUUUUUCUCCAGUAAGAAAGCAUGUAAUAAUAAUAAUGAAGUGAAAAGUUCUAUCCUUUGUCAUUUCACAGCACUGUCAUAUUAUACAUCUAGUACAAUGUUUGGCUUUUCUGACUGGCCCUGUUAAUUUAUGAUGUAUCCAUAGGAAUGCAGACUUGGAAGACAGACUGGCCAUUUCUAAUAAGUAUUAUACAAUUAUACAGUGUCACACAAUUGCUAAACAAGAGAAAGGAAAAGAGACCUGCUUUGCAAAGCUCUGAAUUUCUAACAUGCAAUUGGCCCAAUGGGACACGGAGGUUUCAAUCAAUAGCACACCUAUUUACAUGGACUGAUGUAAUUCAGACAGGCAAAAAGAAGCAUGAAAGACUAAGUAGCUAAGGACUGCUGCCCUGUUUUUAUUUCAGUUCCUUUCCACAAGGCUGCACAGCACUAUUAUCAGGUGAGAGGCACUGAGCGGCAUUUCAUGUAUUAUUUAAGAGAAACCACAGCUGUUUUAGAUGGUAAAAGGGUGCAAUGUCAAGUGAGUAUUAUCCGUUAUUUUCACUUGAGCUGAGAAAUGUUUUAGCACCGUUUCCUCUCUACAGGGAAACCUGGCUAGUGGGUCACUUCUCACUCCUAUCACUGAGGCCUCGAGAGCUGCUUUAAUGAGUGCUAGCUCCCCGCUGAUUAUUGAUUCCAUCUGGCUCAAUGAACAGGAAUAAAUAGUUCCUAAUUUGUUGUGGCAUUGCGUAGAUGUGUUUAUUUAUUAAAGGAGAGAGCUGUGGCAGCAUGCAUCCCAUUCAGCACCAGUACCACGAGCUUGGUAUUGGCAGGAGAGAAGCAAAUCCCUGCCGCUGAGCGGCAGGCCAUGCCAGGUAGCUGGCAUGGUGAGAUGCUCACAGUUACUGCCUCUCUGCAAUGGUCAGUCUCUAGGCUCCCUCUCACACAUCUGAUCACAUCUGUCACCAAAGACAUUCCCAUGUCAAACCCUUUCGUCCCACUCAUUGAGGUCCUUGUCCCUGACACUAUAGCUGCAUUUGCAUGAACAGGAACACUCUGGUGCUGCUAUGAUCAUAUUAUCCAACAUCCCGAACUAAUUCAUGUAUAGCUGCACAGCCCUCCAGUGUGCUGGGAGACUCUGUGGUCACUUUUAUGGCCUAAAAGUCACUACUGUGUCACUACUUUGACAUCUUGACAUUGAGGGUUUGAAAUUAGUUCACAGGAAAACAAGAACAAGCUGAAACCAGUUCAAGGUUGCAGGGAGUAGUUUCCCCCAGAUUAUCAGAUUUGUCUUCAGGAAACCUGUGUUCCAGCUUAAUGUUAUUACCCGCAGGAGCAAACUCCAUACUAUAGCUAACCUGCCGAUAAAAUGAGGUCUAAGUUGUUCCUUUUUCCUUAUCUCUGCCUGCUUUAUCCAUGGACAUUUGACUGUCCAGGCCAGGGAAAGUCUCUCACUCCUUAUUCAAGCCAAAACUUUUUACUAUGAGAACAUCAUCCGCGCAGGGGCCUUCAGGAAUCUCUAUUACAGAAAUAACAACAAAUUUUAUCCAAAGGAAAAAGGCAAGAAAUUAUGUAUGGUUUUCCUGAAAGCACUAUGAUAUGCUGCAAAGACAUUUUUUGCCCUCCUGUAAUGAAACAAAAAAUGGUACAACACUGAAUCCCAAAUGUGCUCUUCUUUCAGUAAUGUAAUAUUACAGAACUCUAGCGAGGCAACUGAUGUUUCUUUCCUUUCAUUUAUUUUCUCUAAAGAUAGUUACUCAGCUCUGUGAGUUGGAACUGGAUGUUCUAUACUGAUGAUUAAAUAACCCAAUUAGUCCUAGGUUUUAAUCACUAAAUAUUCUUGUUGGAGUAUAUUUAGAAUACAUUCUUAUAAUUCCAUUGGCAAUUUCACAGACAAUGAAGAGAAGUAAGUUGGAGGAGAGGGUUUGCCUUCUGCCUAUACCCAACAGUAUUGUAUUUUCUGACAGCUGUAGGCCCUUCAUUCCCAGAAAUUACUCUACUUUGUCAUACUUACUCUAGGGAGGGAGAAGUUGUGUCAGAAAUGGAAGCAUGAAAUAGGGCACUUCAAUGGAUAGAGCAAUUCCAGGAGGGAAUUCUGCACUGAAUGAGUCAUCACCAGACCUCUAUAGUUCACUGCUUGUAUUUGUGUAUAAACAAGUGCAGACUCCAGGAAAAAAAGAUGCCUCUACUACCUCUCUAAGAGCAUGCAUAUUAAGGUCCUCAUCAGACCUCUGCUCUCACACAUGGAAGUAGCCUACUCUCAGCUGCCUUGUUCAGAAAAUCUUGUGAACAGAGGUUUGUUAGUGAGAUUCUUGACAUCGUCUACAACAAUACCUGAUGGUACCAACCCUAUUAGACUAACUUUAACUGAAUGCAAAAUAUACCACAUAAACAAGAAAGCACCCAGAAGUGCUGGGAGUCAGACACAUUUGUCUUCCUUGCCCAUUACCAAUCAAUGCCCUUGCCACGUUAUUUGGGUCAGGAAGGACAAGCUCACUCCUCUUCUUUCCCUCAUCCCCAAGUAUGGGAUCUAAGAGAAGAAAGGAGAGCAGCAAAACUUUACAGCAGUGUUUUAUGCUUACCCCAGGCACUUGCCCUGAGAGGGCAAGGUUUUCUCCCUGUGUUGAGUUACAGAGAAUUACAGUUACUGAGUUACAGGCCUGAUGCUGAGACCCAUCACACACACUGUUUGAGCUGUUACUCCAGUGCAUGAAAACUAGCGCACAAAUGCAACUUCUGAGGUGCAGAUGAACUUGUGCAAGUACUCAGUGAAGCAAUGCGAUCUUAUUUGCACAUCUGGUACAGGCCAGAGAGAAAUAAUUCAGUCGAAGCAAAAUCAGCAGGGGGUUACAAUAAUUCCUUGAUUAAAAUUUGUGAUUUUUAAACAGACGUAUCUGAUGCAAUGAGAACGAAAGGUAACACACGUUCAUUAACUCACAUAUGGAAUCUCAAAGUAAUGUCUUUCGACUCAGUAAUAAAUCAGAGCUGACAUUUAAUAAAGUCAGUCUCACAAUGUUUCUCAUUUGAUUAUGGCCACAGCGCUUCAGGAAAGCUGCUAGUUGUUUCUCAGACACUCGUGUGUAUAGAUACCAGUGACUGUAUUUUCUCUUUUUUUACCUGCAGUCUGGGCUGUUCUGUUACUUUUCCCCAGUGGUUACAUUUGACUGAAAGAAAGGAACUGCCAUCCAAGAUAUUGAGAUUUCAGAAUUCUUUCACAGUUGGGGUGAGAAUAAGACAUCUUAGAAUCACUUGCAAACAAAACACUGAGAAAUAUUUUCUUCAUACAUUUUCUUUCUUCCUUCAUAUCAAUAAAGUUGGAGCUGGUGAUUUGUACUUACAUUAUGUUAUGCAGUCAAAAUAGAAAAUAGGAAAUAGAUGCUUGGACCUUUCUGAAAUUAAACAUUGCACCUUUCUGUUAGAAAGACUUAACAAUAAUUAUCCACUGAGAAUUUGACCAAAAAUGACAUUUAUCCGUGUGAUAUUUUCAUUCUGUAGCAUCAGCAUUUUCCAGUUUAAACAAGUAACCUUUGGAAAUUUUGAACUAGCCUUAUCUGAUGCAAGUUAAGCUGUACUGUCAUUACUAUGUGGGGCUCUGUCACUUGUUCACAGGAAGCAGUACCUGCAGAACUUAUCUUUGAGUUUAGAAGACAAGAUUGUGCAUCUCAGUAUGAAGUAUUCAUGAAAGCAGAAGAGAAAUAGAUAAGGGGAAAAAAAAAAACCAACACAACACGCAUAUUCAGGCACAGCAUAACAGAAGCAGAGAGCAAUGGAACACGGAAUAAACUGUGUAUAUGAAAAUGUGGUGUCCUAUCUAUAAAAACGCUAACAACUCAUGGGACUAUUGAUAGAUAACACAAGAAGUGUAUAAGCUUUUUGUCCAGAAACUUGCUUGCCUAUGAUUUGGUGUGUGAUACACAAUGCUGUGGGCAGAUGUCUAGAGGAUUUGCUCUUUAGAGUGUUAAGGACACAAAUGUAUGGUAAUUGUAGUUUCUCUGUUGUAAUACAGUUGAACAAAAUGGUCUAAUAUCUGGGAUACCACUUCUCAGAUGUCUCUGGUACUUGCACAGAAGCCAUUUGAUUUCAUGUUUAUGGAUAUACAUAUACUUACAUAUACAUACAUAUCUAUGGCUCAUGGUGACUUUCUUGUUGAGACUGAACCACAACAGACUACCUUUCUCUGUAACUACAGCACUUGUAGCCUCAUUUGAAACCUUACAUCAAGUAUAGAAAGAUAAUAAGACAGAUUCCGCUAAACUGAUUUCUACUCAAUCACCACUGAGUAGCAGGAAUACUGUCAGCUGCACAGACUCCACUUCAGCACUGGGGAUGGAUGUGGAAGGGAUCUGCUUUCCUUCCUCUCCCCAGCCAAGAAACAGGAGGUGCAGAGAAGCUGCAUGAGGCCACAGGGUCCCCAGAGAGACUCAUAAAAUCUAAUGAACUUCCUUCUUCCCUGCUCCCUUGUCAGAAUUUCCCCUAUUGCUACUACACUUAGUGGCAUUAGGAUCUUUGAGCUACUUAGCUAUUGGCUAUUUAUAUCCUUGUUAUGAAACAUUCAAAUAAUGUUGCCAGCGUCACCUUUACAGCUCUGCCCCUGAGGUCCUUCAGCGCCCUGACACAGGAAUACCGAAGCAGAGAGUCACAAAAUAGUUGAACCCAAAUUCGGAGGUUAUCUCUGCUAACUUCAGGGUACAAUCCUACACUUACAGGCUAAGUAAGUUCCCCUGCAAGUCCUGUGCUGCAAAUUGGAUCUUAAUGUUACUCUUAUAAAAAAUAACAGUGAAAAAUGAAUGGGAAUAGCUAAAAUUCUUUUUUUUUUUUUUCUCUGGGAAAAGAAGCACUGCAAAGAGAUGUAUGUAUAAAUCUAAACACAGGGAAUAAUGUAUUAAAAUGUCAGUACGACUUUUCCUAACAUUAAAUGUGUAUCAGGUAUCUUUUCAAGGAUACUCACUUCAAAGGGCUGUAUGAGUUUGACUCACACUUCUGUUUUUCUAGUUUUAUGCCAUUCAUAUCAAAAUACACUAAAAAUGUAAUAAAACUUUGCAGCUAAAGAAGUAUAAACACAUCCAAGGAGCAUAUGUAUAUGUUUCUAUUAAUGACUUACUUAUGUGGUGCCACAUUUAUUAUAUUCAGGAUCAAAAUAUUCUCCUGCUCUUUUUUUCCCCCCAG